rnacentral:rRNA from 1 species
UAGGGAAUCUUCGGCAAUGGGGGCAACCCUGACCGAGCAACGCCGCGCGAGUGAAGAAGGUUUUCGGAUCGUAAAGCUCCGUUGUAAGAGAAGAACGUGUGUGAGAGUGGAAAGUUCACACAGUGACGGUAACUUACCAGAAAGGGACGGCUAACUACGUGCCAGCAGCCGCGGUAAUACGUAGGUCCCGAGCGUUGUCCGGAUUUAUUGGGCGUAAAGCGAGCGCAGGCGGUUUAAUAAGUCUGAAGUUAAAGGCAGUGGCUUAACCAUUGUUCGCUUUGGAAGCUGUUGGACUUGAGUGCAGAAGUGGAGAGUGGAAUUCCAUGUGUAGCAGUGAAAUGCGUAGAUAUAUGGAGGAACACCGGUGGCGAAAGCGGCUCUCUGGUCUGUAACUGACGCUGAGGCUCGAAAGCGUGGGGAGCAAACAGG